rnacentral:rRNA from 1 species
GACGAACGCUGGCGGCGUGCUUAACACAUGCAGGUCGAACGGAAAGGCCCUGCUUGCAGGGUGCUCGAGUGGCGAACGGGUGAGUAACACGUGGGUGAUCUGCCCCUUACUUUGGGAUAAGCCUGGGAAACUGGGUCUAAUACUGGAUAGGACCAUGCUGUAGGUGGUGUGGUGGAAAGAUUAGUUUCGGUAAGGGAUGAGCUCGCGGCCUAUCAGCUUGUUGGUGGGGUAAUGGCCUACCAAGGCGUCGACGGGUAGCCGGCCUGAGAGGGUGGACGGCCACAUUGGGACUGAGAUACGGCCCAGACUCCUACGGGAGGCAGCAGUGGGGAAUAUUGCACAAUGGGCGCAAGCCUGAUGCAGCGACGCCGCGUGGGGGAUGACGGCCUUCGGGUUGUAAACUCCUUUCAGCCAUGACGAAGCCCUUGUGGUGACGGUAGUGGUAGAAGAAGCACCGGCUAACUACGCG